UACGUAGGGGGCGAGCGUUAUUCGGAUUUAUUGGGCGUAAAGGGUGCGUAGGCGGCACAUUAAGUCAACUGUUUAAUUUCCCGGCCUAACCGGGAGUCAGCGGUAGAUACUGGUGAGCUAGAGCAUGAAAGAGAGAAGUGGAAUUCCUGGAGUAGCGGUUAAAUGCGUAGAUCUCAGGAGGAACACCGAUGGCGAAGGCAGCUUCUUGGUUCAUUGCUGACGCUGAGGCACGAAAGCGUGGGGAGCAAACAGG
rnacentral:rRNA from 1 species